GACGAACGCUGGCGGCGUGCUUAACACAUGCAAGUCGAACGGUGAAAGAGGAGCUUGCUCCUCUGGAUCAGUGGCGAACGGGUGAGUAACACGUGAGUAACCUGCCCUUGACUCUGGGAUAAGCGUUGGAAACGACGUCUAAUACCGGAUACGACGACCGAUGGCAUCAUCUGGUUGUGGAAAGAAUUUCGGUCAAGGAUGGACUCGCGGCCUAUCAGCUUGUUGGUGAGGUAAUGGCUCACCAAGGCGACGACGGGUAGCCGGCCUGAGAGGGUGACCGGCCACACUGGGACUGAGACACGGCCCAGACUCCUACGGGAGGCAGCAGUGGGGAAUAUUGCACAAUGGGCGCAAGCCUGAUGCAGCAACGCCGCGUGAGGGAUGACGGCCUUCGGGUUGUAAACCUCUUUUAGUAGGGAAGAAGCGAAAGUGACGGUACCUGCAGAAAAAGCACCGGCUAACUACGUGCCAGCCGCCGCCGUAACAC
rnacentral:rRNA from 1 species